GAUGAAGAACGUAGUGAAAUGCGAUAAGUAAUGUGAAUUGCAGAAUUCAGUGAAUCAUCGAAUCUUUGAACGCACCUUGCACCCUUUGGCAUUCCGAAGGGUAUGCUCGUUUGAGUGUCAUUGUACUCUCACACUUCUGAUCCUUUGGAUUGGGAGCGGUGGACUUGGGUGUUGCUGCUUUACUGUGGCUCACCUCAAAUGCAUUCGUGCAACUCUUGGUUGGACAUAGUACGGCGUGAUAAGUAUCUUCGCCGGCACCUCGCAAGAGGGCGGCUGAUCAGGAGCUCUGUGCUUUCCAACUGUCUUCAGACAACAACUGACAACUUGACCUCAAAUCGAGUAGGACCACCCGCUGAACUUAAGCAUAUCAAUAAGCGGAGGA
rnacentral:misc_RNA from 1 species